UGCAGUCGAACGGCAGCACAGUAAGAGCUUGCUCUUAUGGGUGGCGAGUGGCGGACGGGUGAGGAAUACAUCGGAAUCUACCUUUUGGUGGGGGAUAACGUAGGGAAACUUACGCUAAUACCGCAUACGCCCUUCGGGGGAAAGCCGGGGACCUUCGGGCCUGGCGCUGAUAGAUGAGCCGAUGUCGGAUUAGCUAGUUGGUGAGGUAAUGGCUCACCAAGGCGACGAUCCGUAGCUGGUCUGAGAGGAUGAUCAGCCACACUGGAACUGAGACACGGUCCAGACUCCUACGGGAGGCAGCAGUGGGGAAUAUUGGACAAUGGGCGCAAGCCUGAUCCAGCCAUACCGCGUGGGUGAAGAAGGCCUUCGGGUUGUAAAGCCCUUUUGUUGGGAAAGAAAAGCAUCCGGUUAAUACCCGGUUGUUCUGACGGUACCCAAAGAAUAAGCACCGGCUAACUUCGUGCCAGCAGCCGCGGUAAUACGAAGGGUGCAAGCGUUACUCGGAAUUACUGGGCGUAAAGCGUGCGUAGGUGGUGGUUUAAGUCCGUUGUGAAAGCCCUGGGCUCAACCUGGGAAUUGCAGUGGAUACUGGAUCACUAGAGUGUGGUAGAGGAUAGUGGAAUUUCCGGUGUAGCAGUGAAAUGCGUAGAGAUCGGAAGGAACAUCUGUGGCGAAGGCGACUA
rnacentral:rRNA from 1 species